rnacentral:tRNA from 1 species
GUCUAGAUAGUAUAAAUUUACAUUACCUUUUCGUGGUAAAAAUAAGAAAUCUUUCUUUUUAGAUA